rnacentral:rRNA from 1 species
GAUAAACGCUGGCGGCGUGCUUCAGGCAUGCAAGUCGAACGGGUGUCUACCUUCGGGUAGCCACUAGUGGCGGACGGGUGAGUAACGCGUUAGCAACCUGCCCAAAGGUGGGGAAUAACUAACCGAAAGGUUAGCUAAUACCGCAUGUGAUAGCUGGUUCUUGGACUGGUUAUGAAAGGCUUCGGUCGCCUUUGGAGGGGCUUGCGUCAGAUUAGCUUGUUGGUGGGGUAAUGGCCUACCAAGGCGACGAUCUGUAGCUGGUCUGAGAGGAUGGUCAGCCACACGGGGGACUGAGAUAC